rnacentral:rRNA from 1 species
GAUGAACGCUGGCGGCGCGCCUAACACAUGCAAGUCGAACGGCACCUGCCUUCGGGCAGAAGCGAGUGGCGAACGGCUGAGUAACACGUGGAGAACCUGCCCCCUCCCCCGGGAUAGCCGCCCGAAAGGACGGGUAAUACCGGAUACCCCGGGGUGCCGCAUGGCACCCCGGCUAAAGCCCCGACGGGAGGGGAUGGCUCCGCGGCCCAUCAGGUAGACGGCGGGGUGACGGCCCACCGUGCCGACAACGGGUAGCCGGGUUGAGAGACCGACCGGCCAGAUUGGGACUGAGACACGGCCCAGACUCCUACGGGAGGCAGCAGUGGGGAAUCUUGCGCAAUGGGGGGAACCCUGACGCAGCGACGCCGCGUGCGGGACGGAGGCCUUCGGGUCGUAAACCGCUUUCAGCAGGGAAGAGUCAAGACUGUACCUGCAGAAGAAG